UAAAUUAGACACUCCAUAAAUCAAAUCUAAACAGCAAACCCCAUAAGCUCAUCUCUAUUUUAAUCGCUGGAAAAUCGAAUCUUUUUGGGGAAAAUGAGGUGGGAAAAGCUUGAAAUUCAGACCAAGAAUGGUGAAGGGCUGGUGGGUCCCCCCUGUUCUGGGCCAGGGAAAAGGUGGGGUCACACCUGUAACUCCAUUGGAGGUGGCAAAUUCCUCUAUGUGUUUGGUGGGUAUGGUGAAGAUAAUUGCCAGACUAAUAAAAUCCACAUCUUUGACACUGCUAACAGGACAUGGAGUGAGCCUGUGACAAACGGUGAACCUCCUAAGCCAAGGGAUAGCCACAGUUGUACAACAGUCGAAGAUUAUCUGUUCAUUUUUGGAGGCACGGAUGGAUCACAGCCGCUUAAGGAUUUGCACAUAUUUGACACCUCUUUGAACACAUGGAGUUCACCAUGUAUAAGAGGUGAGGGACCAGAGGCUAGGGAAGGCCAUAGUGCUGCGCUUGUUGGUAAACGGCUUUUUAUAUUUGGUGGAUGUGGAAAGUCUUCUAGCGGUUCUCAUGAAGAAUAUUAUGAUGAUCUUUACAUACUAAAUACUGAGACAUUUGUAUGGAAGCGUGCUGUAACAUCAGGCACCCCACCAGCCAAGCGUAACAGCCAUACCUGCUCAUCUUGGAAGAAUAAAAUUAUUGUGAUUGGUGGAGAAGAUUUAGAUAAUUUUUAUCUAUCCGAUGUCCAUUUUCUUGAUACAGAUACUCUUAUCUGGGGGAAGGUAAACACUUUAGGUCAGCUGAUGCCGCCUCGAGCUGGACACACUACUGUUGCGUUGGGCAAGAAUUUGUUUGUCUUUGGAGGUUUCUCUGAUGAACAGAACUUAUACGAUGACAUUUAUAAUCUUGAUUUUGAAACAGGAUAUUGGACCAAAGUGAUGACCACGGGAGAUGGGCCUUCAGCUAGGUUUUCUAUGGCUGGUGAUAGUUUGGAUCCAACGAAUGGAGGUGUCCUUGUCUUUAUUGGUGGAUGCAAUAAGAAUCUUGAAGCACUAGAUGACAUGUACUAUCUAAGGACAGGAAUUUUAACGGAGCCUGAGCGGGAUGAACGGAGGGUAGAGAAGUUAUCAUUAAGAAAGCAGCUGAAGUUGAAAUGCCAAGAGAGCACUCUUACUCCUGUGUAUGAUAAAGCCCUGGUCAAACCUGAGACCCAGAAUUAUGCUUAUCAGUCUGUUCCUGCAACAAAUUUUGUCCAACAGAGGAGACAGAACAUUCAUUUGCAUGAAUACCAAGCUCCUCCAGGGAAGAGUACAUUUCAAGCACAGGUUACUACUUGCUUGUCAGAUGGCUUUACGAUUGAAACUGUAAUCGAUGGAAAGACUCUUCGUGGAGUGCUGUUCUCCACAAAGACAGGUGCUAAUGAUCUUCUGAGGAAACAAAAUCAGGUGGAGGUUGGUGGUUCUAAUGCACAAGAAGAUCACAAUUUAAACAAUUCUCCGAUAUCAAGCAUGCAAGAAGUAUUGAAUGAUAGGCAGGCAGAUGGUGCUCCGGAGAACUCAGUAUUGCCUGAUAACCAGAUUCAAGCUAAUACUUCUUCAAAUGUGGUGGUAUCUGAUGCUGCUCAUCUUUAUGAGCAGGCGCCUAGUGAUAUUAAACUAUCAGUUGCACCUGACGUGGCUAUGGAGAAGAAUAACACAGUUCUCUUACCAUACUCCAACUCUGAGGACACUGCAAGUAAAACGCCGGCGGCAGCUGCACUUGUCACUUCACCUCCUGAGCAAGAUGGCAGAGCCUUGACUGCUGAAUCCCAGUUUGCAAACAAUCUGUUGCAUAAAGCUGAUAGCAUCCAAUUGGGUUCAUAGGCUAUAUCUCAAGUUAACGGUGACCAGUUUGUACAGUAAUUGCAAAGUAAUAGUUGCUCCAGAAAAACAGUAAACAAAACAUUCUGAGGUUGCUCGGAGUUUAGCAGACAAAUUCAUCUGCAUUUCAUCGGAUCCAGGUGGGUACACAACCUCAUGCCUGAAUUUUGGCUGACUAGAGACUUUAGUUUGCUGGAUCAAAGAUUGUAAAAAUUAGGAUAUUUUUUUAUGACUCAAGUGAGGAACAUUUGGACAUAGCUAGAUCCUUGAUUUUUUUUUGUAGAACUUUAUUUGUAACACGGUAGAGAACAGAGUCAAAAAUCACGAGCAAUGGAGUUAGAAUAAUCACCAAAGCAAUCAUUAUAUCCUUGCACCCUCAUUUUUUUUUA